GGGGGUAUAGCUCAGUGGUAGCGCGCAUGCUUGGCAUGCUUGAGGUCCUGGGUUCAAUCCCCAGCGCCCUCC
rnacentral:tRNA from 1 species